rnacentral:lncRNA from 1 species
AAAAAAAAGUAUAUAUCAUAUAUUUUACUCAUCCAAUGAUUGUAAUAUUUUUUCCAGAUAUAUCAUGAUGGAUAAAAAAAACUCCAUUGAUAGUAUCAAGCAGCUUGUGCUAUCGAGUAUUCGACCGUUAAAUGAUAGGAUAUGCUGUUAGGAUGACAGUGGUUCUCUAUAAUUUAGUCAGUGGUUGGUUGGAUUGUAUAAUUUAACGGAUGGAAAUGAUCAGAAGAUAGAUCUAAUAAUAAAAACUUUGAUAGUUUUAAAAAUUUGAUACUAUCGAUAGUAUAGUAGCCGAACAGUAUUUACGUACAUGAGCAUG